rnacentral:rRNA from 1 species
AUGUUUAGAAUGAUGGAUAGGCCAAGUACUUCUACCAACCCACUCUUCAUCGAGCAAGACGACGACAUGUCCACCUAUGUCACAAAGAGCCACCUCUUUGGUGCACAACGUGCUUUGCAUCAAGAGCAACAAGCAAUGAGCAAGCACAUCGACAACCUCGCCACUGACUUGCGACUCUCUGGGCAACGUACAAGAGACUAUUUCAACAAGAAGCUCGACGACCACAAGCAAGAGAAUGAUGCAAGAAUGGUCGAGAUUCGUGCUUUGUUGCUCAACCGCUCUUCUUCCACUUCGUCCUCCUCAAGACGGAGCUGCUCAAGUCGACACUCCGACUACACCAUCUCCGGCUCAAGUACACUGACAUCGAAUACUCUUCGACAUGCCGCGCACCAAGAUCGUCAAGCAAACCACAAUCCUCUACACGACAACAGCUCUCAAGAGCAACGACACCGUCAAAACCAAGCUACAUUUGUGCAAGCACGAGAACGGCAACGCCAACGCCAACAGAAGAGGAAGAGCGAGCGCGUCUACACCAAGAUGCACAAGAUGCCGAGGCACAACGUCAAGAACAACAACUGUGAGAAGCUCAAGCACUUGAGGCGCAACAAGCCCUCCGAGAUUCAAGUCGAGCCGUAG